rnacentral:rRNA from 1 species
UACGGAGGGGGCUAGCGUUGUUCGGAAUUACUGGGCGUAAAGCGCACGUAGGCGGCUUUGUAAGUUAGAGGUGAAAGCCCGGAGCCUCAACUCCGGAAUUGCCCUUAAGACUGCAUCGCUCGAAUCAUGGAGAGGUGAGUGGAAUUCCGAGUGUAGAGGUGAAAUUCGUAGAUAUUCGGAAGAACACCAGUGGCGAAGGCGAACUCACUGGACAUGUAUUGACGCUGAGGUACGAAAGCGUGGGAGCAACAGG